ACCCCGAUAGCUCAAUGGGUCAGAGCGCGGAACUGAAAAUUCCGAGACAGAAGUUCGAAACUCCUUUGGGGUG